UUUCACAGCCCGAGAACAAAACAGACCAACAAACGUGAGCGAGCCGCUGACCUCAAAAUCACUGUUAAAACAUGGUGUCCCCAUUUGGUAAUUAUCCUCCUCCAGAGAUGAGGUCAGGCUGAAAAUCAGCUGAAAACAAAGUGGGAUGAUAAUGGUAGCGGUGACGACGGAAGCGAGAGAAUGAGAAGGAGAAUAGAAGAGGACAUGACAGGGUGAAAAUGAGAGAAAGAACGGGAGAGGAGUGAUAGAGAGAGAGAGGAGUGUGGUGGAACUCGCUGCUUGGUGUGAGUGAGCAUGGGAAAUGCGUGGGACUUAUGGUCCAUCACUGGCUCCAACAGGAUCUGUUUGGUGACUGAUGUACAUAUAUAUCUGGCUACACAAACACACCUAUGAACAGUUGUCUUUCUGCUACUUUAAAGGAUGCUACACUGACUUGCACUGAUUUUCUGAAAGCUUACCCUCCAUGUAACCAUACCCACUACUUGCCUAACUUCUACUCUAACCUUAAAUGAGGUCUUAGUACAUUUUUAUUAGUUUUCCUUAUAGGGAUUUUGUCCUCGCAAUGUGACUGUAAACAGAUGUAUGAUCCCACAAUAGGAGCAACUCAAGGACAUGUAUAUAUGGAGCUAUACACUUCUGCCCAGUCCGCUCAACAAACCUCCCUCAAUUCAUGGCUGCUGCCGACGUUCAUCUUAGCUGCUCACCUGGUUUUAGCAAACUGAUUCUAUGAAGUUCUGCAAAUUUUUUUAGUCUGAGCAAAUUUUCUUUUAUUUAAUCUAAAAUCAUCAUUCAUAAACAUUCUACAGUUGGUGCUUUUUACUUGUCUAGAGGGUGAAGCACAACCAGUGUUGCCUAAAUUGCACCACAAGAGGGCAAAAUCUGGUCAGAAACUAUAAUGGAGAAUCUCUGGAGCUCACGUGCGUGCACACACAGACACACAAAGACACACACAAACCCAUGAUAAUGUGCAUACAUGCACACAUGCACCCUCCCCUCUAUCUGACACACAUACACACCUCACUCAAUAUGUUAGCAUUCCAUUCUUACACUCAUGGUAACACAUAGCAUAUUCAGUCAACAGCAUUAACUUUUUAAUAUUACGUAUUCCAUGGACCACAUAGAUCUUUGUAGCAGUCUUGCUGAGCGCAGCAACUGUAACCACCAUCACGUGAAAUAGCUCAGUCAGAGUUUGACAACAUGAUUAGGGAGGAAAAUGUGAUUUAUCGAACCCCAAAGUUCAAUUUGCAGCACAGCAGGAAUCCAACAUCCCCACGCAGGUAGCUGUCAUUUUUCAGCUGUGAGGUCUCGAGGCUGACUGCUCCUAUGAGCUCACCUCAUGGCAGAUUAUGGGCCACUGUAGGCCUACGUUGGAGCCAAAUUUUGGCAAGAUUCAGCGCAAUGUGGUCUUCUCUCAUGUCUAGGUUAUUUUUAUGGCUGAGGCGGUGGUGGAGCCAUUGGGAGGUCUGAUUACCCUUUGAAAUAAGCCAAUACAAUCAAAGCUGCCUGCGGUGGAUGAUACAGGGCGCUGUGAAUCCAACUUUGAUGAAGCAAGACUGCAAAGGGCGACUGUCAGCACCAGCAUGUUAUUACACAGCAUUUACUAUGUGCAGCGCAUUCGGCUCCAUCGACACAAGCCACACAGUCCCAUGCCCGUGCAACAUUUCUCAUGCUAUGUUCUUUAUGUUUCCUAUAUGUCUGUGCAGAGAUGGGAGCCAUAGGUGGUUUAGGUCAGCUGUUGUCAAACCCAUGCUGAGGGAAACAGAGCCGCUCAGGGCCAUGACGUGUGCUGUUGCUGCAUGCGUGUGCACUUUUAUACGGCUUUAAUUACAGACUGUGAACACAGACAGACUUGUUUAUUCUGCUGCAUAGUAUACACUGAGGCCUGGUUGGCACCACAAACACACGUGCCGCACACUCACACACACACACACACACACACGCACACACACUGCUUUGUAGUAGUAAAAGUAUCUAUCCUGGACAGCACAGUAGGUUGUACCUGCCAGUUGGGUGAGUCAUUUCUAUUUUAUGUCCAUUAAUUGAGUCAUUUAUGGAUAUCUGUGCACAGAGCAUCAUCACAAACAGGCACGGCCCUUCUACAUUAAAACAUUCUUCUUUUCAACGUUUUUCCGAUAAAUCGCUCACAUCUUUUUCUACUUUGCAGGCUUUAAGCAAUUCUAAGUUUUCUAGAAUUAUGGUAAGCUAUCACUGCCAUAGAGAUGUCUCCUGAUGCCCUCAGCUUAAACAAACAGGCUAUUUAAAGGGCAUCAGCCUAACUUUAUUUUAAGUGGACGAAGAAGGUAUAAAUAGACUUAGAGGAGCGCAACAAGCGAAUGCUUCAUAUGAAAUGGCUGGCGUUACAUCAUUGCCUGUGAGAGUGAAGUUCUGGAGAGGCACUGGGCUCUCUGGGCCAGCCAUUAUGCUAAGCAAAGCUGUCAACAGAGGCAGAGAAGCAGCUUUAAGUGGGAGACAGAAAAUGGAUGGAGGAAGAACAGGAGCGGGACAUGAAGAAGAGAAGGAAGGAAAGAACAUAGAAGUCAUUUAUGGAUGAUUUGCUGACUGAUGUGGUGGCUCAUGUCGAGAUCUGGGCAAUUUCUCUUGGGUGAAGUGCAGCAGAGAGGGGAGAGAGAGUGAGUAAGCCUUCCAACCCCAUAAGACUGGACUCUAUCAGCCAUGCAGAGUCAGUGAUGGAACCACAAGCCUUGGUAACCACACUCACAAAUGCUUAUGUCAGAUGUUAUAAAGUGCCCACGUGGGCCUCAUGAAGGACCCCUGUGUGCCAUCUCUAAUAAAGAGCCCUUUUUAUUCCCACGGCAACUCACAGAGCGGUCUGGCGAGGGCCUUACUCCUAAAAAUAAAGAAAUAUACAUAUGCAUUUUAGGAAUAGGUAUAUUUUUGUCGUGGAGAAUUCAUGCACACUCACUGAUGUUACACCAAAGAUUUUUUCAUGAGAGAAAUUUUAAAAAGGAGGCACUUCAUGGGUUUUAAUUUAAGUGAUUCAUUACAUCUUUCCAGUCUGACAAAAGCACUAAAAUAGGCAGUCCUCUGACCCUUUUUUUUCAGACGACAUUGGGAUGAGGUUGGAAACAUGUUGGUCAGCAGUGCUGUUAACAGAACUGCCAAGCACAUAAAUUCAUCUUCAUUCCCUGUGAGCUGACAUAUUGUCAAAAUAGCAGCACUUAAUCAGUGAGACUUCUCCAAGGAACAAAAUGCAAAGAGCAAACAGAAACACCCAUGUUCAGUUGAUACCUCCCAUGAGCCUCACCCAAAAAUUUGUGUCCUAAAGCAUUUUUGGCACGUGAAAUGAAGACACUGCACAUGGAGCCAGUCUUAGAACACAGUUAACCAGUUGAAGUAAAUGGGAAAAUUUGGAGCAAGAUGCUACUUAAAAAGCAUAUAUUUUGGGGGGAAUUAUAACACUUUACCCUCUUAAAGUGGCUCUUAUCAACCAUUCACAUGUAUAUUUUUCUCUUGGUAAUGAGCCCAGCGAGAAUCAUUAUCUGAAUCUGCAUCUCCAUUCAGCCCCAGGGAGCAUUUUAACAUCUUCUGGUGUAUUGUUCUGGUGUUCCAGCUGCUACAUUAUUGCUGAAAUAACUAUCACUGCUCUUGUAGUGUCAUUUUUGACUGCAGAAGAUUGCUGUUACAGGAAUAGGUAAUGACUAGCUGCUUAAAACAUUCAACAAGUAAAGAUACAGUAUUUUCCUCAAGAGUACAGAAAAUAGACCUCAAAGAAAAGUGGAACUUAUUUAUUUUUGGGUGACCACUCCAAAUGAAAAAGAGGUUAAGGUGAUGAAGAUAUAGGCAGUGCACCAAAAUGCGCCUAUGAUACACAAGUUUGAAAACCUGCAACCAUGUAAACCAGACUGAGCACACCUGUGAUUCUCAUUUAGUCUAACUGCAUGAACAUGGUUGCAAAACGGCCUGUGAUCAUCAGAACGUUCUCAGUUUUUGACUUGCCUGCAUGUCUGCAUUGUGGUGCCUCAUGGAAAAUAAUUGCCAGCUGAAGCAAAAAUCUGAUUGUGAUUCUUCACAAAGAUGGAAAAUGAUACAGGGAACUGUCAAAACACAGCAGUUGCAGCAAUAAUCGGGAGGUUUAGAAUGAGCCAUAGUAAGGAUAAGCAGAGACUCAGUGGCCUACCUCUCAAAAUAUUGCCACUGACAGUGCACCACUUGCACAAUCUAGCUCUAAAGCACAGAGGGGCUAUGAGUGAAAGUCAGAUUUUCUGACCGCUCAGACUGUGUGAAAGGCAUGAUGCAAAAUGUCAGCCUUUAUAUCCAAGAAAGAAACCCUUGCUUGCUCUUUGACACAAAAAGACAAGAUGAAUAAACGUGAAAGAAGCCUUAUGAAUAUUGAGAGCAUGUUCUUUGAUCAAAUGAGACUAAUGCACUUUUUUGAGCCCAGAUUUGGUCCAGCUUUUUGGUGUGAACAUGACGAGGAGUACCACAGUGAGCACAUAGUCCUGAUAGUGAAGAAUGGAGGUGGGAGUGUGAUGAUGUGGGGCUGCAUGAAAACAGAAGGUGUUGGUUAGAUGAGAUUAACUGAUGGUCUCACGAAUUCCUGUGGAUGUACAAAAGUACUGUCUGACAGGAAGACUCCUAGUCUGCAGAAGAGAAAUCCAUCCGUCCAUCCAUUAUGUACGCAACGCUUUAUCCUCAUUAGGGUUGCAGGGGUUGGAGUCUAUCCCAGCUGACUUAGGGCGAAGACAGGGGAAACCCUGGACAAUUUAGAGUCACCAAUUAAACUCAGCAUGUUUUUUGACUGUGGGAGUAAAUCGGAGUACCCGGAGAAAACCUUUGCAUGCACAGGGAGAACACACAAACUUUAUGCAGAAAGAUCCCAGGAAGGCUGGGACGCAAACUGGGGAUCUUCUAGCUGCAAGGUGAAAGUGCUAACCACCAAGUCACUGUGCAGCCCCAGAAGAGAAAUAUUCCACAUAAUAAUGACCAAAAACAAACUGACAAAAUCACACAACAGUUGUACAGAUUAAAAAAAAACUACAGUAUGUUGCUUAUAUCCCGAAGAGUUCCCAUAGAACACCUGGGGUUUGUAUCGCAAAUUUGGUAUCCUUUAUUCGGACAAGGAUUGAGUCUGUCAUCAAAAAUAAACAUGGACAUAUGAAUUUAAAUCUUAUUAAUGGAAAGCGUAUGGACUUUUGUUGGACUGACCUCCUCCCUGUAUCUUUAAUAUAGUAAAUCUGAACAGUUUUCUUAGUUUUUCAAAAGAUCAAAUAUCCUACUGAUCAACUUAGAAGUUAUGCAGUUUCUGUAAGGUGAUUUAAUUUUAUCAUUUGACAUUUAGGUGGUAUUUAACAGGGGUCUUCUCAUCUCUGUUGUAUACUGUUCCUGCCAAAUUGAAAGCUGAGUACACAUUUUUUUUGUGUGCAAAACAUUAAACCUACAAAUUAGCUAAUGUAAAUCAUUACCCUUAAGAAGACCUAUUGCACAGACCUCCAGGAGCUGCCAUAAACUCACCGUACCAUACCUUCACAAUGCCUGCAGAGACAUCAAGGCAAAUAGUAGAGACUUUUAGCUGCUCUCUGAUAUAGACUAAGUCCUGUUCCCUCUUUAGCUUAUCUUGUCUCUGCUCUGAGGUUCUCCAUCCUCUGCCUCCAUUUCUCAGUCACUUUCUGUCUCAUCUGUGAUGCUGCCAGUAGAGCGGUAAUUGGAAUGUGUGCACAUGUUUGCGCGUGCAUGCAUGUGUUCACGCAAGGCUGUGUUUGUAAUGGGUGCUGCAGUGGUGGUGGCGGUGGUGGCGUGGGGUUGUUGGGCCUCUGCUCCGCGGAUGUCAUAAUUAGGAACUGGAAUUCUGGGAAUUCCUGGGAAGGUUAGACGGUCCUAGAAGGCUUUUCAUCUGCUGCAUCGGCCCAACCCCCUCCCAGCCGCUGGCCUUACGGAAAAAUACAACAUGUUCCAACACACCACCAUCACAGCAAUCAAUUACCCCUAACUGUAGAACACACAUCGUAAACAACAAAUACCCCCAAACAUCCUACAAUUGUAACCUCAUGGCACUGAGGUUCACAAGCAUCUGUGACAUGUUAGUUUGAUCUGGACCCAACCACUAAUUCAUGAGCUGGCUAAUUAACCUCAACUAUUCUAAAUAUAUCAUGUGUUUUAUUUAUACCACCAUCAGACAACGCUUCCUUCCUUGGUGUUUUUGUUUUGCAAACAAGAAAAAGUGCUAAAUGCAUAUGGUACUCCUCAACAGUACAAUAAAAUGCUUUCUUUACAGACAGGUAGUCUUAUAUAAGCCUGUUAUAUUAUCGCCAUAACAGUCCAAUGCUGUUUUCUGCAAACACGGGCGCCAGAAUAAAAACAAUACAGUCCGAUCAAGCCAUGUCAAACAACGCUUUUCUAAUGAGCUACCUACCAGGCUAUUAUUGUUCACCAACGCAUUGUCUCACAGGGUCCAAGAACUAUCUGAGGAGCAUUGGCUAAUCAAAGACCCACAUAAAAGUUUGGAUAUUUCUCUUUCAGAAUCUGACUGCUGCUUCUACAUUAUACCAGUGACUCCAAACGACCACAUGAAACCAAGCUGAGAAGUUGGUGAAAUGUAAAUUAAAUAUUGUUAUUCUGAGGUUUUGGCACCAAACAACAGCAGUGAGAUAGCGCUUCUAGCCAUUUUUAGCAGCUGGUUCACAAUUUCUUUGGUUAAAAGCCUGAAAUUAUGCUGGCGGUUAAUACAAGUUUAACUCAAUUUCUUGCUUCAUUCUGAGGUGAAAUACUCCAUUUGUGAUUGCUGUAGUUUCGUGCAGUGGCCGGAAACUAUGCUUGUUAUAACCAUAAUGAUAAUAGUAAUAAUUUCUUUGUUUAUCGUUACUUUACAUGCUGAUGUAUGAACUUCGUAAUCUUAACUUUAUAUUCUUCUGUUUUAAGAGUAUUUGCAACAAUGUUUAUUCAAGUUAAUUAUAAUAAAAAAUAUUUAUUACCUUAACUAGUAAAUUUGCUCUUUUCAAUUGCUAUUUUAAAAAUGUGGUACAAUCAAAUACCUUGCAUUUGGCUGCGAUCACCCAAAUUUGUUGAAUUUCUUUACUCAUUCGCCAUCCCACUACAUGCUUUCACCUACAGUUGGUCAAUGAUGUCAUGUGACUGCCUGCCUUCUCUUACAACCGCUCAUUUGGGCCUUGUAUUUUAAGCUCCAUCAAGUUGUUUACUUCUUGUUUUGAGGAACUGAGCUGAUUUGCUGUCUUGUUCAGACACCUUUGAACAGAGCUGGAUUUAAAUCUGGGAGCCUGGACCUCACCGUGUUUUUUUGUGACAGAAAUUUGAGAGAAUUCGCUUUAGUGUGCCAGCCUUGGUGAUGCAGGAGACAUGCAAACUAUUAGUUUUUCACAGGUUGGCCUAACAUCAAUGUUUAGGACGGUGUUACUUUAUGGAGGUAGUCACAACAUAAACACAUUGAAAAGCAUAAAAAGAUCAUCAAAGUGUGGUUGUAAGUGCUGAAUGGUGACGACAGAAACCUUAGUGGACCACUGUGACCAAUGAUUCAAGUCGAGGAUGAGUUUUUGUGUUUAUUUAAGGGGCGCUGUCGGUCACUUCUUUCUGUCAUGGCACAAACGCUGCCAGCACAAGUGUUGCACUCACUUGGACAGGUGAAAAGGGAGGGAAAAAAUGCUUCUGAAACUGUAUUAGGUCAAUGUGAGCUCACCUCGAAGGCAUAUACAUUACGCAGUCAGUUUAUUCAUUUAUUUUCCAUAUUGCCAGCAAGUGAAUAAAUGAAUAUACAAACUGAUAUAUGCUGCUGCCAUAUACCAUCUCAAAUGCAUUUACACACCGGAGCCAGCAUUUUGGUCUUCAAAUGGAAAGAAGUAUUGUUCUAUCACCAGCCAGCUUGUCUUCUAACACAGUCUAAUGAGGCAGGAACAAAUGACUAUCCACUCUAACACUCUUUCUCUACGUGCACUUCUCUGAAUA